rnacentral:rRNA from 1 species
CCUACGGGAGGCAGCAGUGGGGGAUAUUGGACAAUGGGGGAAACCCUGAUCCAGCGACGCCGCGUGAGUGAAGAAGUAUUUCGGUAUGUAAAGCUCUGUCAGCAGGGAAGCAAGAAAUGACGGUACCUGACCAAGAAGCCACGGCUAACUACGGGCCAGCAGCCGCGGUAAUGCGUAGGGGGCAAGCGUUAUCCGGAAUGACUGGGUGUAAAGGGAGCGUAGACGGUGAUGCAAGUCUGGAGUGAAAGGCGGGGGCCCAACCCCCGGACUGCUCUGGAAACUGUGUAACUUGAGUGCAGGAGAGGUAAGCGGAAUGCCUGGUGUAGCGGUGAAAUGCGUAGAUAUUAGGAGGAACACCGGUGGCGAAGGCGGCUUACUGGACUGUAACUGACGUUGAGGCUCGAAAGCGUGGGGAGCGAACAGGAUUAGAUACCCUGGUAGUC